rnacentral:rRNA from 1 species
UACGAAGGGGGCUAGCGUUGCUCGGAAUUACUGGGCGUAAAGCGUGCGUAGGCGGUUCGUUGUGUCGGUGGUGAAAUCCCCGGGCUUAACCUGGGAAUGGCCAUGGAAACUGGCGAACUGGAGUGCGGCAGAGGGGGGUGGAAUUCCGCGUGUAGCAGUGAAAUGCGUAGAGAUGCGGAGGAACACCGAUGGCGAAGGCAGCCCCCUGGGCUAGCACUGACGCUCAGGCACGAAAGCGUGGGGAGCAAACAGG